ACCUCCCAGCUCGGUGCCCACGGUGCCAGCUUUGCCGUGUAUCUCCCAGCCCGCCGUAGCGGCCUAUGCUCGACGUAGAUUUUUUCUUUCUCUUCGGAGCCGUGACGGACUGAAUUCCCUCCCCUUCUGCCUCUCCCUCGAUGGUCAGCGAGGGGCUGGCUCAGGACUGGGCAUUCCUACUCCCUCUCCUUGGCGAGGCGGUUCCUCGCCGUCUGACCUUUGCUCCGCUGCCGCAUUUUAUGCUAUGCAACUGCCUUGCAGUUGACUUUUUCUUGCCUGGCCUCUGUAAGGCCUGAGGCUCCUCGGCCACCCUGUACCUCCCUAUCCUCGGGCACCGAGCUGUGCCAGGCCCCGGAGCCCCCAGGCCGCGCUAGGGCUGCGGUGGGGGUUGAAGGUGCGUUUACAUAACACCAGGCGUGUGGGAGCUGGAGGAAGAGGUUGCGAACGUAGGAGAGAUAAGGCUCCUACUUUCCCUCCUUCCUUCUUGGUGGUACCAGGCUUGACAUCACAGAGAAGAGGAUAGAGACGGGCCCCUAGAAGCCUGUUUCUCCAUACAGUCCAGGACCUCCAGCCCC
rnacentral:sRNA from 1 species